GCUGGGAGUUGGGUAACUCUUGUGCUAAGCCUUGGGCAGCUCCACAUUUAUCUCGCUCCGCUCUGCGUGCACACACACAUGCACACACACACACACACACACACACACACACUCCACACGUCUGCCUCAGCUUUGCAAUCCAGUGGCGUGAGCUGCAAGAGAAGCAGAAUUUUCCAGUCUCUCUGCGUCUGUGACUUGGUGGGCCACCAGAAGCCUCGUGCUGGACCAGCCCCUGAACUGAAUACUCAUCUGGACAAAGAUGGUUGCAUAGAUGGUCAUUUGGAAAGAGAUUACUGGAAGACAUUGCUGCUCUGUGAAUCUGGGAUCCCACUUUUCCUGAACAGAACAAUUGAUAGCAACAAAGCUUCCUUCACACUGAAGACCAGCUCCAGGCAGGAAGAAAUGAAGCACUCCAGGUAAUAAAAUAUAUGCAAGAGA
rnacentral:lncRNA from 1 species